AGUGAACGCUGGCGGUAGGCCUAACACAUGCAAGUCGAACGGCAGCACAGUAAGAGCUUGCUCUUACGGGUGGCGAGUGGCGGACGGGUGCGGAAUACAUCGGAAUCUACUUUUUCGUGGGGGAUAACGUAGGGAAACUUACGCUAAUACCGCAUACGACCUACGGGUGAAAGCUGGGGAUCUUCGGAUCUUGCGCGAUUGUAUGAGCCGAUGUCGGAUUAGCUAGUUGGCGGGGUAAAGGCCCACCAAGGCGACGAUCCGUAGCUGGUCUGAGAGGAUGAUCAGCCACACUGGAACUGAGACACGGUCCAGACUCCUACGGGAGGCAGCAGUGGGGAAUAUUGGACAAUGGGCGCAAGCCUGAUCCAGCCAUACCGCGUGGGUGAAGAAGGCCUUCGGGUUGUAAAGCCCUUUUGUUGGGAAAGAAAAGCAGCAGGUUAAUACCCCGCUGUUCUGACGGUACCCAAAGAAUAAGCACCGGCUAACUUCGUG
rnacentral:rRNA from 1 species